rnacentral:rRNA from 1 species
GCUGGCGGCGUGCCUAUCAUGCAAGUCGAACGAACUUCCGUUAAUUGAUUAUGACGUGCUUGCACUGAAUGAGAUUUUAACACGAAGUGAGUGGCGGACGGGUGAGUAACACGUGGGUAACCUGCCCAGAAGCAGGGGAUAACACCUGGAAACAGAUGCUAAUACCGUAUAACAGAGAAAACCGCCUGGUUUUCUUUUAAAAGAUGGCUCUGCUAUCACUUCUGGAUGGACCCGCGGCGCAUUAGCUGGUUGGUGAGGUAACGGCUCACCAAGGCGAUGAUGCGUAGCCGACCUGAGAGGGUAAUCGGCCACAUUGGGACUGAGACACGGCCCAGACUCCUACGGGAGGCAGCAGUAGGGAAUCUUCCACAAUGGACGCAAGUCUGAUGGAGCAACGCCGCGUGAGUGAAGAAGGGUUUCGGCUCGUAAAGCUCUGUUGUUAAAGAAGAACGUGGGUGAGAGUAACUGUUCACCCAGUGACGGUAUUUAACCAGAAAGCCACGGCUAACUACGUGCCAGCAGCCGCGGUAAUACGUAGGUGGCAAGCGUUAUCCGGAUUUAUUGGGCGUAAAGCGAGCGCAGGCGGUCUUUUAAGUCUAAUGUGAAAGCCUUCGGCUCAACCGAAGAAGUGCAUUGGAAACUGGGAGACUUGAGUGCAGAAGAGGACAGUGGAACUCCAUGUGUAGCGGUGAAAUGCGUAGAUAUAUGGAAGAACACCAGUGGCGAAGGCGGCUGUCUGGUCUGUACUGACGCUGAGGCUCGAAGCAUGGG